rnacentral:lncRNA from 1 species
UUUAGGGCUCCAGGGUGGGUACCUUUCCCUUUGUGUAGACCGUUACGAGUUACUGUCGGUCUUGACAAAUUUGUGCAAGUGGUCAGCUUGGAUGAGUUCUUCUAUCCUGUCCUUCAGUGCCUGACAUCCCUCAGUUGUAUGGUCAUAAUUGUGAUGGUACUGACAGUGUUUAGACGUGUUAGCAUUCUUCGGAUUUUUUUACUACCUUAGGAUCGGG